GACAGAGGUGCCGAGCGUUAGGCGGAAUCACUGGGCUUAAAGCGUGUGUAGGCGGAUCGUUAAGUACCUUGUGAAAUCCCAUGGCUCAACCAUGGAACUGCUUGGUAUACUGGCGGUCUUGAGCCAGCUAGGGGCUACCGGAACAAAUGGUGGAGCGGUGAAAUGCGUAGAUAUGCGGAGGAACACCGAUGGCGAAGGCAAUCCCCUGGGCCUGCACUGACGCUCAUGCACGAAAGCGUGGGGAGCAAACAGG
rnacentral:rRNA from 1 species